AGCUGACCUGCGAAUGAACAAACGUGAAUUAACGGAUAGAAAUGAAGGCCUAGCGACCAUCUCACCGCCACAAACAACUCAAAGGCUGUCGUGGUUCCCCGACCUCCCCUCCCCUCUGGUUCUGUCCAGACACAUCGUCUCACCGCAGGAUUCCGAGCAGCGACCGGUAAUCAAACACGGUUAUAUUUCUGCAGUGCUGUGUGUAGAAGCCAGCUAACUGAGGUACGGAAAGACUCUCAACAGCUUCAUUACAGUCAAGGCCAGGUUUUGCUGCCAAGCAGAAUCUCUGACAUGUCUCUGAGUGGCAGAGCCGUUGCCUCAUCUCAGCCAAGGGAAUCUCAGGUCCUGCCAAACACUCCUUGCCUUCAGCUGCUCCCGUCCGGUCGUCUACAAUGUGUGGUUCUUCCCACUUCUGCACUUCGACUUAGCUAAGUAUUUGCAUCUGAAAAAUGAACUCUAGUAAAUGGAGGCCUCUCAGCUCUCCCAAUUUCUCUUCCUAUUUCUUAAGUAACAUCUCUACUGUUGUUUUUUCUUCACACCUGACCUUCAGGUGACUUUCUGCUGCACCACAGCCCCUCCGCCCUCUAUAUUCUGGGCAAGUGGAGCCCUCAUAAGUCUUGCUGUUCUUCUGUCUUCUUCUCUUGGCUCCAUGUGUCUGCCUUAUCUUCUUUUUCUGGGAAUGUUCCUGUUUAAAACACCUCCUACUUACCCGUUUCCUUCAUCCACUUGGCUGCCAGUCCCCAGCCCGGGGAGGUCUGGGAACACUUUUCAACAUUUCUGUCAACUUGGGCAGAACCUACCUUGUCUGAAUCAGGCUGUGCAGGCCAAAGUCAGGUCUCUGUUCUGGAAAUGUAUUAGUUCAGUGUGGUGGCCAGGUUCAUGCAUACUGAUGCAGGAAAAGCAGGGAGAUCCGGACUCCAUUAAAAGAAGGAUAUGAGGUGCACAGGGGCAGCUAUGGAAGAUCUUGGCAGAAGCGCUGCAGGUGGGGGAACCAGGUAUCUUGGGGCUCUGAGCUGGAGCACAGGAAAGAGAGGGAGGGAGCCGAGAGUGCAGGCUGUAUCCUGUAGGACCCUGUGGGUCUGGGAAGUACUGUGGGUUUUAUUCCAGGUGUAACAAUCUCUGAGGGGCUUUAAAGGGAGAGGAUGGUGAUGUUUUAAAAAGGUCUUUCUGGCUGCCACAUGUGGACCAUCUCCACGCCCCCUCCUUCCUACUCCAGCUUUCAACUUCCUUCUUCCUUUGGCCAGUCCCUCUCUUUUUGGUUGUCCCUCGGUUUGAGAGAGACAUCCCCAUAGGUAUUCCUAGGACUCCUCUCUUUUAACUACCAUUUGCACAAGCCUCUAUACUUUUCUUGCAUGUGGAUAAACUUAGAUCUGCUUUACUUCUUGAUGCUCUCCUGGUGGUUUUAGGUGACAGACCCAGGGCGCAAACCAGAGCCUUGAAUGGUCAAUGUUCUCUACACUCUGAGGGCAGUCGACUGUGUUCUGAGUGCAUCUAGGUCCAAGUGUGGAGGGAGGAUCUUGCAGAGUCCCUCUGGAGCCCACGGUCUGGAAGGAGCCAACAGCAUUAAGGACGAACUGUCUGACAAGAAGAGCAAAGCCUGCUUCAGCCUGUUUGGGCUGGUGUAACAAAAUACUAGAGCGGGCAGCUUAUAAACAAGACAUUUAUUUCUCACAGCUCUGGAGGC